CGGACGGGUGAGUAACGCGUGGGUAACCUGCCCUGUACAGGGGGAUAACAGCCGGAAACGGCUGCUAAAACCGCAUGACAUGGGGAUGCCGCAUGACAUCGCCAUCAAAUAUUUAUAGGUACAGGAUGGGCCCGCGUCUGAUUAGCCAGUUGGCAGGGUAACGGCCUACCAAAGCGACGAUCAGUAGCCGGCUUGAGAGAGUGACCGGCCACAUUGGGACUGAGACACGGCCCAAACUCCUACGGGAGGCAGCAG
rnacentral:rRNA from 1 species